rnacentral:lncRNA from 1 species
AAGUCGAGUUCGCGUAACUCUCAAAUUUUAUGUGGAGGAUGCCUUUAGGUAGCGUUUGGCUCGGGAACAAUGAGGAGUAAGUCCUUGUUCCCUCCUUUGUUUCCAAACGUGAUGUUUGGUAUCCGAAAAUAGUAAUUUUAGGAUUUCAAGAACAAACUGGUUUAAGAAUGGAAUUGUUGUUCCAUCUUUUUACUGAAAUUGUUGUUCAUUGAUGAGAACAAGAUUAAUUAAAAUUUAAAUUUAAUUUUAAUGAUAGUAAAUUAUUAAUUAAUCUAAUUUAUAUAUUUAAAUUAUUAUUUAUUACUUUAAUAAUUAAAUAAUUUAUUUAUNUAAUUAUUAAUAAUUAUUAUUAUUUAUUAAUAAAUAAUAAUAAUUAUUAUUAUUAUUAAUUAGAUAAUCGAUAUUAUUAUUCAUAAAAAUUAGAUAAUCGAUAUUGCUAUUAAUUUAUUAUUAAUAAUUAAUCAAUAAUAAUAAUUAAUAAUAAUAAUUUUUUAUUAAUAAUUAUCAAUUAUUAUUAUUAUUNUAAUUAUAUAAUAUAAUUUUAAUUUCAAAUUAUAACUCUUAUUCCUCUUGUUCCAAUCUAACUAUCCAAACACUAUUUAUCUUAUUCUUAAAAAUAAUUCAAUUUUCAUCCAAACGCAAAAUUGGUUUAGUUCUUGCUUAUACAUGAACUUAUACCUAUCCCUGAAACUAGCAGUUCCUACUCAUAUCCGAACCAAACACAGUCUUAAUGAAUACACUUCAUUGCCAUUGAUUUGCUAGCUCGUAGGUAUUAAUAUAUUAACAAUCUACAAAGACAACACUAAGCUAUUUGUAGUAAAUUGUUCGGUAAUAUU